rnacentral:rRNA from 1 species
UGAACGCUGGCGGCGUGCCUAACACAUGCAAGUCGAACGGAGUUCUUAAGGAAUGCGACUUCGGUCAAAUGACUUUUGAACUUAGUGGCGGACGGGUGAGUAACGCGUGAGCAACCUGCCUUUCAGAGGGGGAUAACAUUUGGAAACAGAUGCUAAUGCCGCAUAAGAUUACAGUACCGCAUGAUACAGUGAUCAAAGGAGCAAUCCGCUGAAAGAUGGGCUCGCGUCCGAUUAGAUAGUUGGUGAGGUAACGGCUCACCAAGUCGACGAUCGGUAGCCGGACUGAGAGGUUGAACGGCCACAUUGGGACUGAGACACGGCCCAGACUCCUACGGGAGGCAGCAGUGGGGAAUAUUGCACAAUGGGCGAAAGCCUGAUGCAGCAACGCCGCGUGAGGGAAGACGGUUUUCGGAUUGUAAACCUCUGUUUUCGGUGACGAACAAAUGACGGUAACCGAGUAGGAAGCCACGGCUAACUACGUGCCAGCAGCCGCGGUAAUACGUAGGUGGCAAGCGUUAUCCGGAAUUACUGGGUGUAAAGGGAGCGCAGGCGGGAUAGCAAGUCAGCUGUGAAAACUAUGGGCUCAACCCAUAAACUGCAGUUGAAACUGUUAUUCUUGAGUGGAGUAGAGGCAAGCGGAAUUCCGAGCGUAGCGGUGAAAUGCGUAGAUAUUCGGAGGAACACCAGUGGCGAAGGCGGCUUGCUGGGCUCUAACUGACGCUGAGGCUCGAAAGUGUGGGGAGCAAACAGGAUUAGAUACCCUGGUAGUCCACACUGUAAACGAUGAUUGCUAGGUGUGGGGGGUCUGACCCCCCCCGUGCCGGAGUUAACGCAAUAAGCAAUCCACCUGGGGAGU